AGCUGAUUUCCUCCUUUGCAUACCCUGCUGGGCACCAGUGGAACAGUGAAAGGUGAAUUCUGUCUAUGCCUUCCUUGUACAACAUUUAACAAGGAGUUACCUGUGGGAUGAAAAGGGGACAUUCUUGGUUCUCUGGGAGCAUAUAUCAAGGCAAUCUAAUUUAGUCUGGAGACAAGGAAGACUUCUCAGUGAAAUGGUAUUUCAGGUGAAGCUUGAGGGACUUAGUGGGCUUUCCAUGGGAGAAUGGCACAUUUGAACGCCUGAAGCUGAGAAAUCACCAUAUUCUCAUGCAUAGCACUGGAGUGGGCCACAGUGUUCUUUUUAAAAUUUGUUGAGAUGCCCCUUGAAAGAAUGCUGUGUAUUCCCAUCACACAUUCUUAAACUGAUAUUUAAAUGUUUUUCUCAGCUGGGCAUGGUGGCCUAUACCUGUAAUUCCAGCACUUCAGGAGGCCAAGGAGGAAGGAUCACUUAAGCGCUUUGUAGAGUGAGGCCUCCAUCUCUACAAAUAUAUUUUUUUAAUUAGCUGGGUGUGAUUGUGCAUGCCUGUAGCCCCAGCUACUCAGGAGGCUGAGUCUGAUAAGGAAUUGUAGGCAAAAAAAAAAAAAAGUUACAAGAAAUGCAUCUCUUAAAUAAGUUAUCUCUGUUGGUGUCCUAAGGUUUAUUACACCUUUCUACCUCAGCAGGGCAGCACAAUGUAGUAAGAUUUAGGAUGUGCCAGGGGGGAGAGGAGCCAUUAUGAAAUGCCAGGUGGGCCUGGACUGCAGGAGUCCUCAGACAGAUCACUUUUAGAAGAGUUGGGAUCUGAAAACUGAAUCCCUUGAAACUCCUCAUGACCACGUGUCCAUAUUCUCAGGGAUACGCAUGCCUCCAUUUGAAGAUUGUUUUUACAGAAAUAAUUGGGGUAAGGAAAGGAGACAAGGAUGCUAGGGAUUGAGUCUGGAAAGAUAGGCAAGAACCAGAUGACAGCAGGGUCUUGGGGGACACAUAAGGAUUUUAGAAUUUAUCCCAAAGGACAGGGAAGCUACUGAGAUUUUAAGGAGAGGAGUGACAUGCUUAUAUUUGAUCUUUUUAAAAGUUGUUCAGGCAUUGUGGAGAGUAUAUUUUAAACAGUUUGGAGACUAUAGCUAGACUCCCAGCUAGAAAGGAUGAUGGUAGCUUAGCCUUUGGUGGUGACCAUGUAGAUAAAACAAGAAGGCAUUCCUGUUAUAAAAAGUGUAAGCAAUCCUAUGUUUUGAAUAUUGAAUGAAAUGUGGACAUUUCCCUCAUGCCGCACCCAAUCCCACUUUCUUACCCAGAGGUUACAGCUAUCUACUUACGCAGUAGAUGCUUGGCAAUCCUUUGCCCCUUCCCUCCUUGAGGUGACUAAGAUGGUCAUGCAGACAAGCCACCCCUCCCAACAGAACCCAUGUGAUCUAGGGGGAAGCUGACCCCACCCAUAAUGGGCCACCAUCAGUCUAGGGCUGUGUUUUUUUGACGUGUGGACCUUGAAGCCUUCAGGCUCCUCAAGAUGCUUUCAGCUGGUCCAAGGGAAAAAUGUUUUCACAGUGAUACUGAGACAUCAUUUGCCUUUUCACUAUUAGAUUUACAGUGGUGAUGCAAAAGCAGGGGUAGGUAAAUCCACUAGCACCUCACUGAGAGUAAGGCAAUGACACAGAAAGUUACCUACUAGUGACCAUCAUGUUCUUCAUCACAAUGUGAUCAUGGACCUUAGACUCUAUGUGAGGGAAUCUGUGUGCCAUGCUAAGUCCCCGGCACACUGCCGCUGUGUGGAUGCACAUGGGUGCUUUCCCAAUCCUUCCCACUCAUGGGAGGUGCCCCUAUAACCAUGCAAUGGGUUCAUCUUGCCUGCUGCCAAGAUAGAGCUGAUUUAUCAAGACGGGGAUUGCAAUAGAGAAAGAGUUUAAUGUCAUGCAGAGCCAGCGGAAUGGGAGACCAGAGUUUUAUUAUGCAAAUCAGUCUCCCUGGAAGUUCAGAGGCUACAGUUUUUCAAGGAUAGUUUGGGUGUUGCUGAUUUGUUGGGGAUGCAAUCAUAGGGGUGUGGAAAAUGGUC
rnacentral:lncRNA from 1 species